CCUACGGGGGGCUGCAGUGAGGAAUAUUGGUCAAUGGGCGAGAGCCUGAACCAGCCAAGUCGCGUGAAGGAAGAAGGUUCUAUGGAUUGUAAACUUCUUUUGUAAGGGAAUAAAAAAGAGUACGUGUACUCUAUUGUAUGUACUUUACGAAUAAGGAUCGGCUAACUCCGUGCCAGCAGCCGCGGUAAUACGGAGGAUCCGAGCGUUAUCCGGAUUUAUUGGGUUUAAAGGGUGCGUAGGCGGACUUAUAAGUCAGCGGUGAAAGUUUGCAGCUU
rnacentral:rRNA from 1 species